UCCAGGAAGGCAGCAGGCGCGCAAAUUACCCACUCCCGGCACGGGGAGGUAGUGACGAAAAAUAACGAUACGGGACUCAUCCGAGGCCCCGUAAUCGGAAUGAGUACACUUUAAAACCUUUAACGAGUAUCCAUUGGAGGGCAAGUCUGGUGCCAGCAGCCGCGGUAAUUCCAGCUCCAAUAGCGUAUAUUAAAGUUGUUGCGGUUAAAAAGCUCGUAGUUGGAUUUGUGUCCCACGCUGUCGGUUCACCGUUCGUCGGUGUUUAACUGGCAUGCCUGUGCGGACGUCCUGCCGGUGGAUGCGGUCGGCCGUGGGCCUCUGGUCUGCGCGUCGGCGGUCCGAUUCAAUCCUACCGCGGUGCUCUUCACCGAGUGUCGAGGUGGGCCGGCACGUUUACUUUGAACAAAUUAGAGUGCUCAAAGCAGGCAGUGGUUCGCCUGAAUAUUGUGUGCAUGGAAUAAUGGAAUAGGACCUCGGUUCUAUUUUGUUGGUUUUCGGAACUUGAGGUAAUGAUUAAUAGGGACAGACGGGGGCAUUCGUAUUGCGACGUUAGAGGUGAAAUUCUUGGAUCGUCGCANGACGAACCUAAGCGAAAGCAUUUGCCACGAGUGUUUUCAUUAAUCAAGAACGAAAGUUAGAGGUUCGAAGGCGAUCAGAUACCGCCCUAGUUCUAACCAUAAACGAUGCCAGCUAGCGAUCCGCCGAAGUUCCUCCGAUGACUCGGCGGGCAGCUUCCGGGAAACCAAAGCUUUUGGGUUCCGGGGGAAGUAUGGUUGCAAAGCUGAAACUUAAAGGAAUUGACGGAAGGGCACCACCAGGAGUGGAGCCUGCGGCUUAAUUUGACUCAACACGGGAAACCUCACCAGGCCCGGACACCGGAAGGAUUGACAGAUUGAGAGCUCUUUCUUGAUUCGGUGGGUGGUGGUGCAUGGCCGUUCUUAGUUGGUGGAGCGAUUUGUCUGGU
rnacentral:rRNA from 1 species